GGCUCAGAUUGAACGCUGGCGGCAGGCCUAACACAUGCAAGUCGAGCGGCAGCACGGGUACUUGUACCUGGUGGCGAGCGGCGGACGGGUGAGUAAUGCCUAGGAAUCUGCCUGGUAGUGGGGGAUAACGUUCGGAAACGAACGCUAAUACCGCAUACGUCCUACGGGAGAAAGCAGGGGACCUUCGGGCCUUGCGCUAUCAGAUGAGCCUAGGUCGGAUUAGCUAGUUGGUGAGGUAAUGGCUCACCAAGGCGACGAUCCGUAACUGGUCUGAGAGGAUGAUCAGUCACACUGGAACUGAGACACGGUCCAGACUCCUACGGGAGGCAGCAGUGGGGAAUAUUGGACAAUGGGCGAAAGCCUGAUCCAGCCAUGCCGCGUGUGUGAAGAAGGUCUUCGGAUUGUAAAGCACUUUAAGUUGGGAGGAAGGGCAGUUACCUAAUACGUGAUUGUUUUGACGUUACCGACAGAAUAAGCACCGGCUAACUCUGUGCCAGCAGCCGCGGUAAUACAGAGGGUGCAAGCGUUAAUCGGAAUUACUGGGCGUAAAGCGCGCGUAGGUGGUUCGUUAAGUUGGAUGUGAAAUCCCCGGGCUCAACCUGGGAACUGCAUUCAAAACUGUCGAGCUAGAGUAUGGUAGAGGGUGGUGGAAUUUCCUGUGUAGCGGUGAAAUGCGUAGAUAUAGGAAGGAACACCAGUGGCGAAGGCGACCACCUGGACUGAUACUGACACUGAGGUGCGAA
rnacentral:rRNA from 1 species